GGUGACUAUAGCAUCAGGGUUCCACCUCUUCCCAUUCCGAACAGAGAAGUUAAGCCUGAUCACGCCGAUGGUACUGCGCAACAGUGGGAGAGUAGGUAGUCGCCGUUU
rnacentral:rRNA from 1 species